GCCACCCUAGCUCAGCUGGUAGAGCAGCUCACUCGUAAUGAGCAGGUCGUCGGUUCGAAUCCGACGGGUGGCU
rnacentral:tRNA from 1 species